UUAUCAAGGCCAUGAGAUGUUACUUUAUCAAGAAAUGAGUUGGAAAUAAAACUAAGCUCCAUAAAAAGAAAGUGACCACUUUAAAGAAGUUGGAUCAAUGUAAACUAUCAGACACUUUAUUUUAUUUUAUUGUCACUACUGUCCCAUAAUUAAAAGAAAAGGUCAUGAUAAUUUUCAGAGUUUACUAGUACCUAGAGCCAUUAAUCACGGUGAGGCAACAUUACGCAUGAAGGACCGCCAACGGGAUUUAUACUCUUAAAACUAAAAUAAGCAUGCACAGUAACCAACAGACAAAAGAAUUAAAGUAGCCAUAGAUUUUAAAUGCACAUGGAAACAAAACUGAAAGGAUAAAGAUGCAUUACAUUACCCAACGACACACUUGUAAUUCCCUCUUCCCAACACACAACAUCACAACUUAGAAAUAAAUAACUAAUAAAAAUGAAAGAAAUGUGAGCAAAUAUCAUUCCUACAUGAGCAACAAUUCGUCUCUCUCUCUCUAACCCAGAGCAACAAUAUGCUCUGCAACUUCCGACCCAACCCACGACCAAAUCCCACCGGAGAAGACGGUGGCGGCCAGCCAACGGCGGCGGCGCCGCCUUCUUCUCCGACAAACCUCUACCUCACAGCUUAAAUUCCAAACACUAACCCUACCUAUUCUAACCUCACGAUCACAAAUCCGGUCACGAAAACACCAAAAGGUUAACCUAAAGCCUUGGAUCGGAAAACCCCAACCACACACAAAGAUCUAAACAAAGUUCUUUACAAACCAAACCACAUAAAUCUUCUCCUCAAGCCAAAACAAACACAAAAGCAAAUAAACACCAACAUUCAGAGUCAAAACCCUAAGUCUACAAAUGAAGCCACAACAGCGGAGAUUUUAAGCAAUUGACAUGAGGGUUUUGGUCGGCUUAUCAAGACGAACGAGGUGGUGCAAAUAUUUAAAGCGAAGGAGAAAGAAGAAUUACUUGACCGGAAGUGGGUCGCCGGCGACGUCUUCUCCGCGGUUACAAUUUGAAGUGAUUUUGAUGGGAUGGGAUGUGGUUGCGUGAAGCUUCACAGAAACAAGUUUGAGGCGUAUCAGCUCCAAGGAAUGUCCAACGGUCCCUGGCUUUGGUCUCUUGGGGCAGUGGUUCUUAUCAAUUGCAACAACUUUUAUUAAGUUAGGACGUAAUCAAUUAAGUAUUUAGGUUAAGUGUAUAUUUGGACUAUUUGUAACCUAUUGUACUCAGAAUCCGUUUAUGUAAUCACUUUGUAGCAUUCAAACCUUA